CUACCCCCCCGCCAAGGAAUUUGUCCUACAAUUUAAGUAACAGGCGAAGUAAAGUAAAUGUGCUUUUGGAGUAUCAACUCUUAUCAUCGGAUAAAUUGGAUUCGAAUGGAAUGGCAGCACAUUCUACGACAAAGCUGUGAUCGUUUCAACGUCUUAAACGGCGAUGAGAAUCAUCCCUUUCAUCUACAACAGGUAAUUAUGUAGGUCAAUAACGAGGUCAAUAAUAAACAUCUACCUCUCGAUCUACCUCAUAUCCCAAAAGUGCACGACUUGAUUGAUUUGAUUAAGCGAAGGGUAACCUGAUUAUAAAUCCAUAGAAAGUUGUGCAUAGAUCGAUCGGCCACCCUAUGUUGUACCUAUCAUGCAUGCAUACGAAAAUGAAACGUAAAUAAAUCAAUCAAUCGUUUUAAACGUGUCAUAAGGCAUCAUAAUACUAAUAAGCCCAAUGGUACCUACGUAGCAUUUCGAAACUAACCCUAUCGAUACGAUAUAACAAGCAUGAUGCAACUGUAAUGACUGUUUGUACUGACAAAUUUAAGUAGGACUUAAAAUCCAUGGCAACGAUUAUUGCGACGAUGGUUUUAAGCUAAGCUCCGCUUAAAUUUGUCACUACAAAAUGGCCAUGAAAGAUUUAAAAACUUACCCCAAGUCAAUGUAUCCAUGGAAUGUUAGGCGUCUUGAUCGAAAAAGAGGCCACGCAAUUGAAAAAUGCGACUUCAGUUUCUACUUCCACUAAAUUUGUUUAACUAACAACUUAUAAGCUCCGAAACGAACGAUGUGCUUUUCCGAGGUCGGUUUAUAACUUUUAAGAGUUGAUUUUUAAUAUAUCGCAAACAAUUCGUAAUUUGAAAAACCGAAUGCAAGGAACAUCGAAACAACACGCAAUCGCGAGUUCAAAUUCAAAGGGGACGCCAUCUUGAUUCAAAUCUUUAAACGGUUAAAAACACCGAUUUAUUUAACGAUCGACCGAAACUAGCGACGUGCCACAAUUUUCCGCGUGCUUAAUUUUACUUUUGCGGGAUUUAUUUUAUUACAACCGUUCAUAAUUUCAAAGAAAACGUAGAAAAACUAGGUAGGUACGCGUGUACACCGCGCAAGCGACUGCAACGAACUACCAGGUCACGUGAUGAUAAGACAUGACGUCAUGGCACGUGACCGAUUUCAAAACGCGUUCACAGUGGUCUGGCUUAUUAUUUCGCUUAAUUUAGGAAAAUUUUAUUGAAUAGAACUCGUUCCAAUAGCCGUGAUUUUUUCGAGUCCUAGCGCCGAAAAUUGCCAACUCGAAAUACAUGCCUCGUAUAAAAACAAGUUUUGAACAUAAGAGAGACCAACCUAUUCGAGUGCCUUUUGGAAAUAUAAUGGCAUAUCUUUAGGCAAUAUCAGUAUCAUAAUAUCUUCUUCUUUACAGCCCAGAACAUAUUUUAUCAAUUAAUAAGUCACACUUAGGGUACGGUCCAAAAUUUACUCCAGUUACUGUUUUUACCGAAAGUAAUUUUGUGGCGGUUAUAAAAUUGCUGACAUUUACUGCGAAUGCUUCUUUAAAAUCUUGCAACAAUCAAUACGCAUGCAUGAGAUUUACUGCAAAAUGCUCAUGUUGCUUCUACCAAUUUGGUGGUAAAAGCUGAGUAAACUGAGUAAAGGUUGUAGUAAACAUAAACAAUGCGACUGACACUAAAUAAUGCUGCAUCCAUGACUAAGGGAACUUUCCUUCUACGCAAAUUUGUUACUGCAAUAAACUCUUCAUCAUCGGAGCUACUGCUUUCUAAUAUAUUUUGGAUAACGUUAUGCAGAACAAUAAAUUCAUUAAUGGCCCCCAUUUCGGAAUAACAGUAAACAAAAUUUCACACCUCAAUAGUAUAAUCAUUCAUGGGCUGUUUAUAAAGUAAACAAACAAAUGCGAGGUUAGAAUUUGCUCAUGAUCCUGAUGUUGAGCUAAAGAUUGGUUAAAAAUAAAAUUUUACUGUAAGCAUUUGUAGUAAAAUAUAAUUUUAAACCGAGUUACUUCAAUUGCAAUGCUCCAAAUGCACGUAAAUUGUAGAGUAGAGUAAAUUUUCGACCGUACCCUUAAUCUGAUUCUUGAGUUUACUUUGAAAACAAUCACCUGUUGAAAUGCAAGUGAUAAGGAAAUCAAGAGAGAUUGUGGAAGAAGUGCCGCAAUGGCUGAACGAAUUGGGAUGCGAAUCCUGGUACCCGAUAAGGGCCCUCCCUGUGCCUGUCGCAUUUUGUAAAAUGUUUACAACGAGAGUGCCUUUUUACUUGGUUUGCUUAUGACUAGCUAUCCUUGUUCGUAAAGAUGGCAGGUGUCAGAGAAGAGAUGUCAACAACGAGGGUAUUUACAGUGAAGAUCGGUUCCCAAUCCUUGGCAGCAAGCCAAAUGGAAGUGGUAAAGUUGGUGGCCUUGCUACGGGUAAAGGUUUCGUCAAACUGAUGCAGUGGAACUGUUUGUACAGCUAAGAAACGUAGGUCUAGCGCACAGAAUGAAGUUUAACGAAGUAACGCAGAAUUGACACUCUUCCCGGAAGUACCAGGAUAUACAAUUAAAUCGUCAUAAUCGUAGUAUGAAUGUUCUGCAAGUCAGUGAUCAUUUCUCGGCAUUAAAUGUUGAAUUGAACGCAGCUAACAUAACCUACUUCAACGGGUUAAUAUGAAGGGUAGCAAAAUAACAAGAGCCCUAUCGUGCCUGAUAAAUAAAUCGGAAACUAAAUAUACCGCA